GCAUCUGAAUCUUUGCCACUCCUUGCAAUAUAGUGCUGGAUUGGAGAUACAGGAUGCAACAGGAAAGCAGAGGAAAUCCAGACAAGCUCCCUUUCACCACUUUGGACCUUGUCUCUACACCUUUGCAACACUU
rnacentral:snoRNA from 1 species